CUAGCAUAUCAAUAAGCGGAGGAAAAGAAACCAACCGGGAUUGCCCUAGUAACGGCGAGUGAAGCGGCAAGAGCUCAAAUUUGAAAGCUGGCUCCUUCGGGGUCCGCAUUGUAAUUUGCAGAGGAUGCUUCGGGAGCGGUCCCCAUCUAAGUGCCCUGGAACGGGCCGUCAUAGAGGGUGAGAAUCCCGUAUGGGAUGGGGUGCCCGCGCCCGUGUGAAGCUCCUUCGACGAGUCGAGUUGUUUGGGAAUGCAGCUCUAAUUGGGUGGUAAAUUUCAUCUAAAGCUAAAUAUUGGCCGGAGACCGAUAGCGCACAAGUAGAGUGAUCGAAAGAUGAAAAGCACUUUGAAAAGAGAGUUAAACAGCACGUGAAAUUGUUGAAAGGGAAGCGCUUGCGAUCAGACUCGCUCGCGGGGUUCAGCCGGCCUUCGGGCCGGUGUACUUCCCCGCGGGCGGGCCAGCGUCGGUUUGGGCGGCCGGUCAAAGGCCCCUGGAAUGUAACGCCUCUCGGGGCGUCUUAUAGCCAGGGGUGCCAUGCGGCCUGCCCGGACCGAGGAACGCGCUUCGGCUCGGACGCUGGCAUAAUGGUCGUAAGCGACCCGUCUUGAAACACGGACCAAGGAGUCUAACAUCUACGCGAGUGUUCGGGUGUCAAACCCGUGCGCGCAGUGAAAGCGAACGGAGGUGGGAACCCCUCGGGGUGCACCAUCGACCGAUCCUGAUGUCUUCGGAUGGAUUUGAGUAAGAGCGUAGCUGUUGGGACCCGAAAGAUGGUGAACUAUGCCUGAAUAGGGCGAAGCCAGAGGAAACUCUGGUGGAGGCUCGCAGCGGUUCUGACGUGCAAAUCGAUCGUCAAAUUUGGGUAUAGGGGCGAAAGACUAAUCGAACCAUCUAGUAGCUGGUUCCUGCCGAU
rnacentral:rRNA from 1 species